rnacentral:rRNA from 1 species
GGGUAGGGGCGAGGGUAAUAUACAUGCAAGUCGAGCGCGGGAAGCGAGCUGAUCCCUUCGGGGUGACGCUCGUGGAACGAGCGGCGGACGGGUGAGUAACACGUGGGCAACCUGCCUGUAAGAUCGGGAUAACUCCGGGAAACCGGGGCUAAUACCGGGUAAUACUUUCUUUCGCAUGAAGGAAAGUUGAAAGAUGGCUUCUCGCUAUCACUUACAGAUGGGCCCGCGGCGCAUUAGCUAGUUGGUGAGGUAACGGCUCACCAAGGCGACGAUGCGUAGCCGACCUGAGAGGGUGAUCGGCCACACUGGGACUGAGACACGGCCCAGACUCCUACGGGAGGCAGCAGUAGGGAAUCUUCCGCAAUGGACGAAAGUCUGACGGAGCAACGCCGCGUGAACGAUGAAGGUCUUCGGAUCGUAAAGUUCUGUUGUUAGGGAAGAACAAGUACCGUGCGAAUAGAGCGGUACCUUGACGGUACCUAACGAGGAAGCCCCGGCUAACUACGUGCCAGCAGCCGCGGUAAUACGUAGGGGGCAAGCGUUGUCCGGAAUUAUUGGGCGUAAAAGCGCGCGCAGGCGGUUCCUUAAGUCUGAUGUGAAAGCCCACGGCUCAACCGUGGAGGGUCAUUGGAAACUGGGGAACUUGAGGACAGAAGAGGAGAGUGGAAUUCCACGUGUAGCGGUGAAAUGCGUAGAUAUGUUGGAGGAACACCAGUGGCGAAGGCGACUCUCUGGUCUGUUUCUGACGCUGAGGUGCGAAAGCGUGGUAGCAAACAGGAUUAGAUACCCUGGUAGUCCACGCCGUAACGAUGGAGUGCUAGGUGUUAGGGGCUUUCCACCCCUUAGUGCUGAGUUUACGCAUUAAGCACUCCGGCCUGGGGAGUACGGCCGCAAGGCUGAAACUC